rnacentral:rRNA from 1 species
GGAAUAUCGGACAAUGGGGGCAACCCUGAUCCAGCCAUGCCGCGUGAGUGAAGAAGGCCUUAGGGUUGUAAAGCUCUUUCGCCAGGGAAGAUAGUGACGGUACCUGGUAAAGAAGUCCCGGCUAACUCCGUGCCAGCAGCCGCGGUAAUACGGAGGGGACUAGCGUUGUUCGGAAUUACUGGGCGUAAAGAGUACGUAGGCUGUUGAUCAAGUUGGGUGUGAAAGCCCGGGGCUCAACCCCGGAACUGCAUUCGAAACUGAUUGGCUAGAGAUCGGAAGAGGUAAGUGGAAUUCCCAGUGUAGAGGUGAAAUUCGUAGAUAUUGGGAAGAACACCGGUGGCGAAGGCGACUUACUGGUCCGAUACUGACGCUGAGGUACGAAAGCGUGGGGAGCAAAC